UACAGAGGGGGCAAGCGUUAUUCGGAAUUAUUGGGCGUAAAGCGCGCGCAGGCGGUCUUUUAAGUCUGAUGUGAAAGCCCACGGCUCAACCGUGGAGGGUCAUUGGAAACUGGGAGACUUGAGUGCAGAAGAGAAGAGUGGAAUUCCACGUGUAGCGGUGAAAUGCGUAGAGAUGUGGAGGAACACCAGUGGCGAAGGCGACUCUUUGGUCUGUAACUGACGCUGAGGCGCGAAAGCGUGGGGAGCAAACAGG
rnacentral:rRNA from 1 species